rnacentral:rRNA from 1 species
AACGAACGCUGGCGGCGUGCCUAAUACAUGCAAGUUGAGCGCUGAAGGUUGGUACUUGUCCCAACUGGAUGAGCAGCGAACGGGUGAGUAACGCGUGGGGAAUCUGCCUUUGAGCGGGGGACAACAUUUGGGAACGAAUGCUAAUACCGCAUAAAAACUUUAAACACAAGUUUUAGGUUUGAAAGAUGCAAUUGCAUCACUCAAAGCUGAUCCCGCGUUGUAUUAGCUAGUUGGUGGGGUAAAGGCUCACCAGGGCGAUGAUACAUAGCCGACCUGAGAGGUGGACGGGCCCAACGGGAACGGGACAACGCCCCAAACUCCUACGGGAGGAACAAGAGGGGAUUAUUGGACAAUGGCGGAAGUCCUGACGAAGACAGCCCGGGUGGGUGAGGAGGUCUUUCGAUUGUAAAAGUCUGUUGGUAGGGAAGAACGUUGGUGAGGGUGAAACGCUCAUCAAGUGACGGUAACCACAGAGAAAGCGACGGCUAACUACGUG